UACGUAGGGUGCAAGCGUUGUCCGGAAUUAUUGGGCGUAAAGAGCUCGUAGGCGGUCUGUCACGUCGGCUGUGAAAACCCGAGGCUCAACCUCGGGCCUGCAGUCGAUACGGGCAAACUAGAGUACUGCAGGGGAGACUGGAAUUCCUGGUGUAGCGGUGAAAUGCGCAGAUAUCAGGAGGAACACCGGUGGCGAAGGCGGGUCUCUGGGCAGUAAACUGACGCU
rnacentral:rRNA from 1 species